AGUGGCGGACGGGUGAGUAACGCGUGGGCAACCUACCCCACACAGGGGGACAACAGUUGGAAACGACUGCUAAUACCGCAUAGGCGCACAGCUUCGCAUGAAGCAGUGUGGAAAACCGAGGUGGUGUGGGAUGGGCCCGCGUCUGAUUAGCUGGUUGGCGGGGUAACGGCCCACCAAGGCGACGAUCAGUAGCCGGCCUGAGAGGGUGGACGGCCACAUUGGGACUGAGACACGGCCCAAACUCCUACGGGAGGCAGCAGUGGGGGAUAUUGGACAAUGGGGGGAACCCUGAUCCAGCGACGCCGCGUGAGUGAAGAAGUAUUUCGGUAUGUAAAGCUCUGUCAGCAGGGAAGAAAGAAAUGACGGUACCUGACCAAGAAGCCCCGGCUAACUACGUGCCAGCAGCCGCGGUAAUACGUAGGGGGCAAGCGUUAUCCGGAAUUACUGGGUGUAAAGGGAGCGUAGACGGUUAAGUAAGUCUGGAGUGAAAGGCCGGGGCCCAACCCCGGGACUGCUCUGGAAACUAUUGAACUUGAGUGCAGGAGAGGUAAGCGGAAUUCCUAGUGUAGCGGUGAAAUGCGUAGAUAUUAGGAGGAACACCAGUGGCGAAGGCGGCUUACUGGACUGUAACUGACGUUGAGGCUCGAAAGCGUGGGGAGCAAACAGGAUUAGAUACCCUGGUAGUCCACGCCGUAAACGAUGAUUACUAGGUGUCGGUGGGUAUGGA
rnacentral:rRNA from 1 species